CGUCAGGCUCAUAAGAAAUUGUGACCUAUCAUAGCAAUAUGAUACGGAAAAACUCUCUAAAUUGUCCCGAUUUGCCUUGCGAAUCUGUGGAUGUUUGAUACAAAAGUAUCGGCACUGGAAACCCCACCCGUCUCUUGGAGACGAGGGGCAAUCAGCAGCGAAGUUCUUCGAAGCUUUAUGCAAAGAAGAAAACGUUCAGAGACUAUAAUGGGAGCAUCCAGCUUAGCUGGAUGAUGGUAUAGUCCGACACUGCCAGUAACGGCAGC
rnacentral:ncRNA from 1 species